AGAGUUUGAUCAUGGCUCACGAUGAACGCUAGCGGCAGGCUUAAUACAUGCAAGUCGAACGGGAUUCGGGGUAGCAAUACUUUGAUGAGAGUGGCGCACGGGUGCGUAACGCGGAUGCAACCUACCUUUAACAGGGGAAUAGCCCCUAGAAAUCGGGAUUAAUACUCCGUAACAUUGCGGUGUGGAAUCACACUGCAAUUAAAGAUUUAUCGGUUAAAGAUGGGCAUGCGUGACAUUAGCUAGUUGGUGAGGCAACGGCUCACCAAAGCUACGAUGUCUAUGGGUCCUGACAGGGAUAUCCCCCACACUGGUACUGAGACACGGACCAUACUCCUACGGGAGGUAGCAGUAAGGAAUAUUGGUCAAUGGGCGCAGGCCUGAACCAGCCAUGCCGCGUGCAUGAAGACGGUCCUAUGGGUUGUAAACUGCUUUUGUCUGGGAAUAAACCCCCGCUCGUGAGCGGGGCUGAACGGACCUGAAG
rnacentral:rRNA from 1 species